UCAUGUAUGUCGCACUUUCUCUUUCACCUCUUUCCGUCUGUGCUUUCCUCUUAUUUGCCCGUCUUGUCUGUUGAUCUCUUGUUCUCUCCAUGUGUGCCUGCACACGUCUCUGAGGUGUUGCUCCUUUUUGGCAGUAUGUGCUGCCUGUAGAGCUGUGCCUCUUCUGUGUCUCCUGGGUCCGCUUGGGUGCUCUCGCUUCAGUUCAACUAAACUGCCUGCAUGUCUUUCUCCUUUACCUGGGUGGCUGAACAUAUGACAUACAUAAUUCAGCCAAGCAGACAUCAGUGAGUCAGCAGAUCCUCGUUUGUGAACGAAAUUUCACAACACAAACAACUGCCGAUUCGUUCAUUUCAUUCACAAACUGCAAGUACCAGUUUGCACAGACACAGUAGGUCUACCACUGUUGUUCAGACUCAAAAUAAGGGGUGUAUUCUUUCAAAAGCAGGAAAAACCUGCCAAAGCAGUCACAUGUUUUAUAUGGGUACGACUUAAGUGAACGAAAAUAUAUGAGUCAGUACAUGGAAGUUAACAAGAAUGAUUUGUUCACUUAAAAGAUUUGUUCAAAAACACUGAUUUGUACAUGAACAAAACAUGUACAGUGGGUUUAGGAUGCUUGUUUGGGAUCACACUGUCACUAGAACAACCGGUAAAUCCUUAAAUUAAUCUCCACUAUGAAAUUACAUACUUUUUACAGAAGUAGGUAAAAAGUGGUACUAGUGCUAGCUAAACUGCAUAACUGACCAUAGCUAGUGCUAUGGGUGCUACCAACUUUUACAUUUAUUUGCUUUUAUUCCAUGGCUUUGAAAUGAUCAAAUAUUGUUGACUGUACAAAAGCAAACUGUGUAAAUGCAAUUCAGUUCAUUCAUGUGGAACCAAUGUACACAUUUGAAUCAAGUAAAUUCAAUUAACAUUUUUUGUCAGUCUAAUGUCACAGACUAAUUUCAGGAUUUACCGGUUGUAGUGAUGACAUAGAAGUUCCAAAUGAGUGUUCCGAAUCAAUCUUUGCACUCGGACGGAUUGCUUACUGACUGACGGAUGUUAGUAGUCCUGACAGCUACCCCCUUCCCUGAGUUGAUGACCUGGUGGAAUGCCUGGAGAGAGCCCGGUAUCUCCACCUUGGACCCGAUGAAGGGCUACUGGCAAGUCACACUGACGCCAGAAGCAAAGCCAAAAACCGCUUUCAGCACUGCCAGCAGCCACUGGCAGUACCGUGUUCUCCCCUUCGGCCUCUACAGAGCACCAGUGACCUUCCAGCGCCUGAUGGACACCAUCCUAAGGCCACACUGCCAGUUCGCUUGGACGAUGUUGUCAUCCACUCCUCCACUUGGUCUGCCCACCUCUAUUACCUCGGGGAAAACCUUGGAAGCCUCUGGAAGGCCAGGCUGACGGCCAACACGAAGAAAUGCCACCUGGAGCUGAUAUAGGCUCAAUACGCCCGGCCCACAUCAAAGAAACAGACCUUACCAAGAAUGGCCAACUGGACCGGUGCAGUGGACAGAGGAAGUGGAAUGGGUGUUCCAGGCCCUCAAGCAGGCCGUCACUAGCUUGCCUGUCCUCAGAAACUCUGACUUCUCC